UAGGGGAAUCUUUCUUGCAAUGGACGGAAGUCUGACCGAGCAACGCCGCGUGAGUGAAGAAGGUUUUCGGAUCGUAAAGCUCUGUUGUAAGAGAAGAACGAGUGUGAGAGUGGAAAGUUCACACUGUGACGGUAUCUUACCAGAAAGGGACGGCUAACUACGUGCCAGCAGCCGCGGUAAUACGUAGGUCCCGAGCGUUGUCCGGAUUUAUUGGGCGUAAAGCGAGCGCAGGCGGUUAGAUAAGUCUGAAGUUAAAGGCUGUGGCUUAACCAUAGUACGCUUUGGAAACUGUUUAACUUGAGUGCAAGAGGGGAGAGUGGAAUUCCAUGUGUAGCGGUGAAAUGCGUAGAUAUAUGGAGGAACACCGGUGGCGAAAGCGGCUCUCUGGCUUGUAACUGACGCUGAGGCUCGAAAGCGUGGGGAGCAAACAGGAUUAGAUACCCUGGUAGUCCACGCCGUAAACGAUGAGUGCUAGGUGUUAGACNGUUUCCGGGGUUUAGUGCCGCAGCUAACGCAUUAAGCACUCCGCCUGGGGAGUACGGACCGCAAGGUUGA
rnacentral:rRNA from 1 species